rnacentral:rRNA from 1 species
AUGGAACAUAACAGGGAGACACGGGCGGUCUCCGGCAAGGAAGAAGUCGACAUCGAGGCCGUCGCGGGCCUGAGAGGAGAUGGUUCUGGUGUCAACUCGCAGGAUCCUGCAUGGAAACGGUUCCUGCGCCACAUUGGACCAGGCUUCAUGGUCUCCUUGGCCUACCUCGAUCCUGGAAACUUGGAAACUGAUCUCCAAGCCGGCGCCAACCACAGAUACGAGCUCCUUUGGGUGAUUCUAAUCGGCCUCGUCUUCGCGCUAAUUAUACAGUCGCUGUCAGCUAAUCUUGGCGUGGUGACAGGGAGACACCUCGCCGAGCUGUGCAAGUCAGAGUAUCCAGUAUGGGUCAAGAUCUGCUUAUGGUUACUUGCAGAGGUGGCUGUGAUUGCUGCAGAUAUCCCAGAAGUGAUAGGAACGGCAUUCGCUUUCAACCUCUUGUUCAAUAUCCCGGUAUGGAUCGGGGUUCUCAUUGCUGGCUCUAGCACGCUGCUUCUUCUUGGCCUUCAAAGAUAUGGGGUACGGAAGCUGGAGUUUUUGGUUGCGCUGCUGGUGUUCGUCAUGGCAGCAUGUUUCUUCGUGGAGAUGAGCAUCGUGAAGCCUCCGGCAAAGGAGGUGAUGAAGGGGCUAUUCAUCCCCAGGCUCAAUGGGUCCAGUGCCACCGCCGACGCCAUUGCGCUCCUUGGGGCUCUUGUAAUGCCGCACAACCUAUUCCUGCACUCUGCCCUGGUGCUGUCAAGGGACACGCCGGCAUCAGUAAGAGGAAUGAACGAUGCUUGCAGGUUCUUCCUCUUCGAGAGCGGCAUUGCGCUGUUCGUGGCUCUUCUCGUCAACAUCGCAAUCAUCUCUGUCUCUGGGACUGUCUGUAACGCGGGCAACCUCUCGCCGGAGGACGCCGCAAAGUGUGGUGACCUCACACUGGACUCGUCUUCCUUCCUACUUAAGAACGUGCUGGGCAGGUCGAGCGCGAUCGUGUACGGUGUGGCGCUCCUGGCCUCUGGGCAGAGCUCGAGUAUCACUGGCACCUAUGCGGGGCAAUAUAUCAUGCAGGGGUUCCUGGACAUCAAGAUGAAGAAGUGGGUGCGGAACCUGAUGACCCGCAGCAUCGCCAUCGUCCCCAGCUUGGUUGUCUCCAUUAUCGGAGGCUCCAGUGGCGCCGGUCGUCUCAUUAUCAUUGCAUCGAUGAUACUGUCAUUUGAGCUACCGUUCGCUCUCAUCCCGCUUCUCAAGUUCAGCAGCAGCAGGAACAAGAUGGGCCAGUGCAACAACUCAAUCUAUAUUGUAGGGUUCUCAUGGACGCUAGGAUUCAUCAUCAUCGGGAUAAACGUCUACUUCCUCAGCUCGAAAUUGAUUGGCUGGAUCCUCCACAACUCGCUGCCGACCUACGCAAACGUCCUCGUCGGCGUCACCUUGUUCCCGCUGAUGCUGCUCUACGUCGCUGCUGUCGUCUACCUCACCUUCAGGAAGGACACAGUCAAGUUCAUGUCUCGCCGCGAGCUGCAGGACAUUGACGACACUGAGAAAGCGAAGGUUGCCAACGAGGGUGGCAGCGAGGAAGACAGAGUUGUACAAUCAAACUGA